rnacentral:rRNA from 1 species
GUGGGGAAUAUUGGACAAUGGGCGAAAGCCUGAUCCAGCCAUGCCGCGUGUGUGAAGAAGGUCUUCGGAUUGUAAAGCACUUUAAGUUGGGAGGAAGGGCAGUAAGUUAAUACCUUGCUGUUUUGACGUUACCGACAGAAUAAGCACCGGCUAACUUCGUGCCAGCAGCCGCGGUAAUACGAAGGGUGCAAGCGUUAAUCGGAAUUACUGCGCGUAAAGCGCGCGUAGGUGGUUCAGCAAGUUGGAGGUGAAAUCUCCGGGCUCAAGCUUGGAACUGCCUCAAAAACUACUAGGCUAGAGUACUGUAGAGGGUAGUGGAAUUUCCUUUGUAGCGGUGAAAUGCGUAGAUAUAGGAAGGAACACCAGUGGCGAAGGCGACUACCUGGACUGAUACUGACACUGAGGUGCGAAAGCGUGGGGAGCAAACAGGAUUAGAAACCCUGGUAGUCC